UACGGGGGGGCAAGCGUUGUUCGGAAUUACUGGGCGUAAAGGGCUCGUAGGCGGCCAACUAAGUCAGACGUGAAAUCCCUCGGCUUAACCGGGGAACUGCGUCUGAUACUGGAUGGCUUGAAUCCGGGAGAGGGAUGCGGAAUUCCAGGUGUAGCGGUGAAAUGCGUAGAUAUCUGGAGGAACACCGGUGGCGAAGGCGGCCCCUGGACCGGUACUGACGCUGAGGCGCGAAAGCGUGGGUAGCAAACGG
rnacentral:rRNA from 1 species